UCGACUUGGGCCUUACAAGCGAACAGAAAAACAUAGGCACACACGAGCACGAGGGCUCGCCUUCGAUGCGUACGGGUACGCCGCUGCCGCACGCCGCCUCUCCGGCCAUCCGCCGCCGCUGCCGCGCGCGGCCUCUCUGCCAUCCGUCGCCCCGUUCUCCUUCCCCUCCCCAUCCGUCCCAAUCUUCUCCGGCGCCACCUGAAGCCCCCUCAACCUGCAACCUCCUGCCAUCGAGCCCUUCUAAUCUCGCUGGACCAUGGACUUAACCGGAACGCCGUCCUGCUAGCCGUGCCCACUUGAGCGAGGAGAGAGUGGUGAGGCGGCUUAGUGAGGCUCAGGACGGCGUCUCGCAUGGCGUCUCGCAUUAUGCCUAAGCAGUGACCGCAUCCACGAUGUUAUUCAGUUCUUUGUCUCAUGUAAGAGUAUUAUGAUAUAUGAGAUGCUUGAAUGAAGGGAUCCUUGAUUAAUUUGUCCACAAGUAGCCCAAGGAUUUGGGAGUUUAGGGUUUGUUAUGAGUAGUUAGCUGCCUGUGAUGUGUGCCCAAACAAAUUGUCAUGUAAAUCAUUAUGAACACUUGAUUUUCUUGUGGCGCCAUCCAAGUGGGCGGAGGCAGCGGCUGCCACCACGGUGUCAUCCUUCUCCCACACCUUCGUCGCGGGACCGGAUUCACAAUGACGCCAUCGCAUCUAGCGACGACGCAAGCUCAUGUGGGUGCCGCAACUUCCGAGGACAUGGGAGUCUCCAUGGGCAGCGAGUACGUGAGCACACUCACACACCACAGCUCUCAAGGAUGCGGGAGCCACCUCAGCCCGCGAGGACUCGUGAACCAUGCUCAGAAUUCUGUUGGGGAGAAAAGCAAGUGCAAAGAGGAUGGGGGCUCUACAACAAUCAGUUGCAAGGUGAAGAUAUUAUUGUUAUGCUGAUCAUGGAGGAUGGAUAUUUCUUUGAGCUUCUAUUGUCGAUAGGGACGCUGUAGUGAGAUUUCUAUCGAACUGAAGAUAUUGAAAGUUGAAGGUUGGCACUCGUGGGGCUUGCUUGUAUGAGCACUGUUAGGUAUGUGGUGUCAACAAGUUACCCUUAGAAGUAUACUAAACUUAUGUACGCAAAUAUCACUACCUUUUGCACGCACGUGGGUGCUAAUUCUUCCUUGGAUUUUUCGAACACAAAUAGCACUACCUUUCAUUUCACACACCAGGGUGCUAAUUCUUCAAAGUAUUAUUCUAUAAAAUAUGAAUUUAAAUUUAGGUAGGUCUAUCUUACAUAUGCAAACUCAUCUCAGGCAUUUUCCUUUAGCUACACAAUUUAGUCAAGUUCUCUUUUUGUAUUACCAUUCAGCAAACCUCUAUAUUUAAUUACUCGCCUAACCAAGAGAAUGAGUUACUAUUUAGUUUCUUCUGAUCUGCUCAGUUGCAAAUUAGGCAAUCUUACACACUAGCUCGAAAUGAUAUUCUUUAAUGUUCAUAAGAAUAAUAAUUGUAAUACGACACCAAUUUGGACAUAAAUGUGAAGUUAGUGUAGAAAAUUUUAUAUAGAGAAAAUCACGGUUUUUUAUUAUUAUAUAGGGAAACCAUAAAUCAAGAACCACCAUAAAUCAAGAACCAUAAGUUCAAGAAUCACUACAAAAUUCAUGUUAAUUUCCUGCAGAUGAAUAAGGUUUGAUUUUUUUGUACGAAUUUCUAUUUUGCGUUGUCUAACUUAGCAAGGUGGACAUGACUAAUAUUAUUGUAGAAAGCGCUGCAACUUUUGCCUCGAAUGAAACAAUGUCUUUGGGUGGGACAGUAAGCACCCAAAACUUUUUUGCUUGCUUCUUUUUUGAGUUUCCAGUUAUCCUCUGUUUCCCUUCUUCAUUUUUACUGGCUGUGAAUCAUUUGUUGCUGUCACUAAAUCCCUGUUGGAAAAUCUACAUCGGUUUGACAUAGGCACAUUGAUGAGAGUGCUUGAAGCUGCCACAGUUAAGCCAGAGCCAUCUUAUUUUUAUUUUGCGAAGAGAGCCAUCUCAAUUGAAAGUGUGAGUUGUUUGUGUUUUCAGUACGAGACCUGCUAUCGAUUUUUUCCCCAGUGAAACAUAACAUGCAUGCAAGCUAGCUGUUGUUAUGUUGGAAACCGAACUUACUGCAUCCCGAAAAGAAUACUCAUUGUGCCACCAGUUAGUAGCAACUAAUCAAAUCCUGAUGGUUAGAAGCAUGUUUCACUCGCUGAAAACUACUGCUGUUAUAUUCCUCUCAUGAGUUUUGAUUUGUUCCUAUUGCUGAUCGGCUGGCUUAUUUUUAUAAUUUUCUGAGUAAUUUUCUACUGUGACAUUCUUACAUUCAAUGUUUUCUUCAGGAUGGGGGCUUAUAUCCUUGUUAGGCAGUGAAGCUGCUCUUGUGGGUCACAUAACACAUGUUAAGCCUAUCUCCCGGUGCAACGCAUGGGCAAUUUUUCUAGUUAUAUACAAAUGUAUCUAUCUGAGCAUAAACUAAACUUGAAAUAAACACAUAUAAAGAUUCAUAAGAUGAACAAAUGUAUGUUAGUGACAUUGCCAUAGUUUAGAUAAACUGAACUGAGCAUUUGCCAUAGUUCAGAUAAACUGAACGCCGAAACAGAGCACACCUAUGGCCAUGCUCGCAGUCACCGAAAGCAGCCACCGCACUUGAGCCCUUCUUGGCCAAGCAAGCGGCUGGAUCCAUCAACGGCACACAAGCUUGGCCGCCUCCUCGCAGCGGCGGACGAGCUGGGUUCCCGUGCGCGCAGAGCGUCCAGGAGGAACACGCAGGCAGCGCCCCAGCGACCGCGGGCAAAUUCUCCCCAGCGCCGCCUCCGAGUCGACGUGGGCACCUGGAGGACGCGGCCGCCGGAGUUAGAAACAAGAUGUCAUCCUGCUUUAUAUAUAAAGUAAACAUUUUUUUAGAGGAAAUAUGUAAAGUAAAUAUCGAAUCAUGUACAUGGACGAAUGAUACAAAGUUACGGGUAGCUCUCAUACAAUGACGAUCUUAGACUACCCGUAUCAUGCAGGAUAGGACUAGGCUACUAAAAUAAAGCAUAGAAGUAUCUGAGUACAAUGUCACACAACGCCCUAAAACAAUUAAGCUUCACGACAACAUCCACGGGAGGGAUAACGGCGCUAAUGGUCGUCACUGUCGAGAGCAGACGGACAAAGGUUUUCACCCGAAACCUUUGCAAGCACCACGACAUCUUCACAGGAUUUCUCCGAGUCAGAACAGAUCCGACGCAAAGAUCCCAGCCAGGAGGAAGCCAGAGGAAGGAGCGACUGCGGGCAAGGGCAGCUGCAUCCCAGCCAGGCGGAGGAAGCCAGAGGAAGGAGCGACUGCGGGCAAGGGCAGCUGCAGCCAUGGUGGCGACUACGAAAGGAGUGACAUUGGAGGCUCCAGCCAUAGCGAGGAAGGCGGGAGCAGCAGCAAGCUUUCGUAGGGUCGGCUACAGGGUCGGAGGAGCUGGCCAUGGUGAACCGAUGGCCGGCGUUCCGGUCAACGCGCGAGAAGAAAAGAGCAACGGUUUGUGCGUCGCUGAGAGUAGUAGCGGCAGCCUCCGAAGUGCCCAAAAUUUUCACGAGAAGCCAUUUUUAGGGCUGCCCUAAAAUUUGGAGGGCAUUUUUUUGCCUUCUCGUGCGUUAAAAACAGCCGUGCCCUGCAUUUUUAGAGGCUCUAGCCAAAAUUUGGAGGGUAUAUUUCGUUGCAACCGGGCCCUUCCUAAAUUAUCAGCCAAUAUUUGUAAAAUAAGUAGACAGGCUGCAAGAUGUAACAAGAUGCAUAAAUUUAGCAAGAUUAGAGCAGAAGACUGGCAUUUAAGAGCGUGGCACAUCUCCCUUCGUUUUAUUUCAAAUCCCAAACCCAGCGCGGCAUAGCACCCUACAAACCCCACUGCAAAAAUCCCUCAAAACCACAUCCAGUGGUUGGCUUAUCUGUCCACUACUUGACAUAUCA